rnacentral:rRNA from 1 species
UCGGGAAUUUUGGGCAAUGGGGGAAACCCUGACCCAGCAACGCCGCAUGAAGGAUGAAGUAUUUCGGUAUGUAAACUUCGAAAGAAUAGGAAGAAUAAAUGACAGUACUAUUUAUAAGGUCCGGCUAACUACGUGCCAGCAGCCGCGGUAAUACGUAGGGACCAAGCGUUGUUCGGAUUUACUGGGCGUAAAGGGCGCGUAGGCGGCAUGACAAGUCACUUGUGAAAUCUCUGGGCUUAACCCAGAACGGCCAAGUGAUACUGUCGCGCUAGAGUGCAGAAGGGGCAAUCGGAAUUCUUGGUGUAGCGGUGAAAUGCGUAGAUAUCAAGAGGAACACCUGAGGUGAAGACGGGUUGCUGGGCUGACACUGACGCUGAGGCGCGAAAGCCAGGGGAGCAAACGGGAUUAGAUACCCCCGUAGUCCCUGAGCGGGCUGGCAAGGCGCAU